rnacentral:rRNA from 1 species
GACGAACGCUGGCGGCGUGCUUAACACAUGCAAGUCGAACGAGGAACCCGGAGCUUGCUCUGGGGGAUUAGUGGCGAACGGGUGAGUAACACGGGAGUAACCUGCCCUGGACUCUGGGAUAAGCGUUGGAAACGACGUCUAAUACCGGAUAGGACCUUGGAUCGCAUGAUCUGGGGUGGAAAGGUUUUUCGGUCUGGGAUGGACUCGCGGCCUAUGAGCUUGUUGGUGAGGUAAUGGCUCACCAAGGCGUCGACGGGUAGCCGGCCUGAGAGGGUGACCGGCCACACUGGGACUGAGACACGGCCCAGACUCCUACGGGAGGCAGCCGUGGGGACUAUUGCACAAUGGGCGAAAGCCUGAUGCAGCAACGCCGCGUGCGGGAUGACGGCCUUCGGGUUGUAAACCGCUUUUAGUAGGGAAGAAGGGCUUCGGCUUGACGGUACCUGCAGAAAAAGGACCGGCUAACUACGUG